AUUGAACGCUGGCGGCAUGCUUUACACAUGCAAGUCGGACGAGUGGCGAACGGGUGAGUAACAUAUCGGAACGUACCGAGUAAUGGGGGAUAACUAAUCGAAAGAUUAGCUAAUACCGCAUAUUAUUCGAGCGGCCGAUAUCUGAUUAGCUGGUUGGUGGGGUAAAGGCCUACCAAGGCGACGAUCAGUAGCGGGUCUGAGAGGAUGAUCCGCAAAACUGGGACUGAGACACGGCCCAGACUCCUACGGGAGGCAGCAGUGGGGAAUUUUGGACAAUGGGCGCAAGCCUGAUCCAGCCAUGCCGCGGGUCUGAAGAAGGCCUUCGGGUUGUAAAGGACUUUAAGCGAGGAGGCGUUACUCGCAGAAUAAGCACCGGCUAACUCUGUGCCAGCAGCCGCGGUAAUUC
rnacentral:rRNA from 1 species